GUCUCCAUGGUGACCCGACCGACACUACAAAGUAAAUGCAAAUCUGUAGUCUUCCUUGGGACGCCGCCUAAGGCGAGGAGCUCUUGGCGAUGGAGAUGGCGACGGGGAGGCGAUGGAAUCGAGUUCUUGUCAGAUCCAGUCGACAGAUUUCCCCUGUCGGAUCUGGCCUGUGCAGAUGCGCCUCUGGCCCAUGUUGCAAGCCAAGCUUUAGUAUGCACGCCUGCUGAAUCCAGCAUUGGCGAUGCCGGGGGUGCCGCACUGGACUUACAAAUGGAGUUGAACAACACUUGCGAGGGGAUUGCUCUGUCCGCACCGGCGUCCGAGCAAUCUACAGGCGGAGACAACCCUCAAGCCCCUGGUUGGACUAAAAUGUACAAGUCCACGGCAUUUUGUUUCUCGUUCAAUCAUAGCUCUAACUGCUAAUUUCUUGUUACGAUAUUUGAAGCAUGUUUAUCAUACCGGCUGCUAUACGGCCAUGCCAUCUACUCAUGAUGGGAUUAAACAUACAUUACUGAAAAGCAUAAAUCUGUAUGAUGUAGAAUCCGUAUGGGGCGUGCACCUGAUGAACGACCCCCAUGUGCUGCCAGGAUGAGUGCGUUGGAAAUGGCAUUGCCAAGUUAUGCAGAAAAGAAAACUGAAACUGUCAUAGUUCCUGCUCUGGGAAGCAACUUCGAUACACUGGGGGAAGCCUAUGGUUACUACAAUCUAUAUUCAUGGGAGAUCGGCUUUGGAGUAAGAUAUGGCAAACGCCGGCUAAAUGUCGAAAAAGAACAAAAUGCAUGCAGGAGAUAGUUUGUGGCUGCUCUUUAAGUAAUUAUUUCACUUCACUAGCACAUAUCCCCAUCUAGGUGUGAAUACAUGUAUAACAAAAACUGAAACAUGACACUUAAACAGAAACAAAAUAAGUGCCUCCCCUGUUUCAUGUCAUUUCUACAUGACCCAAUGCUUACAUUGUAAAAAAAACUAACUAAAAUCCCUACUGCACGUAAAAAAAAAGACAAGAUCACUGCGGGCAAUGCAUGAAGGUCGAUGGUAUAUUCAUCCAAUUCUACUCCAAGGAUCCAUGAUUCCAAUUCAAAAAGUGAAGACUACUGCUUAUCAAUACAUUACCUCCGACGUCUGCAAUCGGAUCCGAUCCGUUGUGCUGCAUUUUGCUGAUAAUCACGUGCCCCCUGGCAAAGUGUUAUCGCCUGAACACCAAGAGAGGUGCAAAGCUCUUGUUAAUCAGAUUUGUGGCAAUCUAGAUGCAGCUGCUACUGUUAUGUACAAGGAGUUCACAAACAGGAUUGCCGAGGCAGAAAAUGCUCGCUUGACAAUCAACAUGUGCAUCUAGCUCCAAGCCCCUUGGUCAGCGCCAAGACAGCGCUUGUUGUUACCCAAUGUAGGCCAGCAGAGCAGAGUCGCGCACCUUCAACCCAGAGUCAUGAAGAAGCAUUAGCAGAAGCACGCAGAGGAAAAGAGAACUGCACUGGAGCCCCAGAUUCCACACCAAGAUUCAUAACACCUGAGUCAUGUUGGUUUCCAUUUGAUUGUCAUUGGCACUUGUACACACAUGCUCAAUAUUUAACCUCCACGCUUGUUGAUACAUCCCUGCAGACACAGCUUCCUCCAGAAUCACCACUUGCAAAUGCAUGCGCACACACUCUUCUCCAGCUUGCUGGAAUAGUCUCUCAAACAUGUACUUAACAACUCAUCACCACUCACGUCGUCUCAUGAUUUUUUUUUUAAAAUGAAAGAAACACCACUAUGAUCAUGUGCUCUGAAUAUCAUUCCAGCAAAGGAUCAACAACUUCAGUAUGUUGAGGAAACUCCUGAAGCUAAGCUGCCAGCACCUACCCUUCCUGGAGCCGCGCAAAACCUGAUUGCAAUAAAUGCCACCUGCCCCUUGCGCCUUGUGCUCUCUGUUUCACUAACAUGCCUUCUGACGAUGAUUCUGCACACACGGCUAUGCUGAUAUCACCCCGGUACCCACGGACACCUUACCAUUUACGGAGCCGGAAGUAUGUCACUGUCACAGAUGUCACAAAAAAGCCUACCUGGACAAUGAAGCGUCCAAGGUCAAAUGUUGUAAACAUGGUAGACCCUAAGAGACAGAAAACAUCAGAAUUACCUGCUGUUGAUCAUCUCCCUGACAUUGGAGAACGCAGAUCAGCACCUCCCUGACACUCGAGGACGCA